rnacentral:rRNA from 1 species
ACAUUCUUAAAACAUAGUGUUAAUGCAUCGGAUCCCAUUAGAACUCUGCAGUUAAGCACACUCAUGCUAGAGUAGUAUUGGGAUGGGUGAACACCCGGGAAGUCCUAGUUUUUUGCAUGCC